rnacentral:tRNA from 1 species
CCGACCUUAGCUCAGUUGGUAGAGCGGAAGACUGUAGAUCUUUAGGUCGCUGGCUCGAAUCCGGCAGGUCGGA